AAUAUCCAAAAGUUUAGUUUAAUGAGGAAUUAAAACUCGGGACUAUUAUCUAACAUCGUACCAAGCAUUAUCGAAAGCGAGGUGGACGCCAUACUUCAGACGGUGUAUAAACCUUGUGUGUUAUCAGCGCUGGUGUACUGCUCUUGUGCCAAAGUUCUCGUCGAGGUGUUUAUCUUUCCUUUAAUGGAUUGAAAUAAAGGUUGAGAAUGUCAAUACGGUUAUUUCUGAUUGACUUGGCUCAUUGCUUUAAUAUAUGUGGAAGUCGACUUGUUCAAGCAGAAGAGUUCAUCAGUCAGUCAGGUUCCAUCGUCGCCGACGAUGGAUAUGACAAAAGAAACCAAGAAAGGGAGGCUGGGAGCACGAGUGCACAAGCAGAGAAUGGCUGCUAAAUUCCCAAUGGUCUCUGAGGUUCAUUUGACACCUGGGUGUAUGGAUUCUCCAACUGUGUGCUGCUAUUGUGGUGAAGAACCACCUGUGGUGAACUGUUUAUCCUGCUUCUGCCUGUGGUGUGAACCAUGCUUUCAAAAGGUUCACAGCCUGUCGGAUAUUUUGAUGAAACAUGACAAAGUCCAUCUGCCAACGAGCAGAAAUCAAAACAAAAUCUCCAUCUUGAACAAUGAAGAUGCUUCGGUGCCUGACUCUCAGAAUCGAAAACUCGACAAAUUUUUGGAGAAUCUGGGAAAAGUAAAAGCUGAUCUGGAGAGGAGUCUUGUAAAAGCGAGGGAGGACGUGACACGAUGCAUGAAGAUGCUUGAUUCUGCACUACAGGCUAGAAAGAAAGAGUUGAAGGACCUUUUGGAAGCAGAAGGUUUGAAAAGGGCUUCAUCACUGGACCUUGAGAGGGAUGAAACCAAGAAAGUUCUAUUUGAUCGUGAGCAAGCUCUGUCCAAGGCCUUCGAGUUGGUGGAUCUGAUUGACAAAAGUGACGAUUCAAUUGGAGCUGAUGCAGUUGAGGUUUUGCGCUGCUUACAGGGCCUUAAUUUUUUGAAUAUCUGCAGCAAUGAAAUGAAGACUUCUGAAAUAAAAUGUUUUUUGGACACAAAAAGCCUUCUUGAAUGCAUCAAGAAAUUUGGUGCAGUUGAGUCACUUAGUUUUGAUGGGUUAAGCAUUUUGGGUGGUGUUGUGGAGGUAGGUUCUCUAUCUCCAUUGGACACCAAGGUCACCAAACCAAACUGCUUGGCCAUUGAGGAGGACCACACUUCACGGAGUGGAAUGCUGGAUGAAGGUCUGGAGAAGGGGGGUGCCCAAUCUUCCUCGGACACAGAUGUCCCCAAACCGAACUGGUUGGCCAUUGAGGGGGAUCACACUUCAGAGAGUAGAAUGCUGGAUGAAGGUCUGGAGAAGGGAGAUGCCCAAGUUUCUUUGGACACAGAUGUCCUCAAAACAAACUGCUUGGCCAUUGAGGAGGAUCACACUUCACAGAGUAGAAUGCUGGAUGAAGGUCUGGAGGAGGGAGACGUGCAAGCUUCCUCGGACACAGAGGUCCCCGAACCAAACUGGUUGGCCAUUGAGGUUGACCCCACUUUACAGAGUGGGUUCCAUGAGUUCUACUGUGAACAGAAUUAGUAGAAAUGAAAAAUGUUAGCUUUCUGGGCUUUUUAUUUAUAUGUGAAUAAGGAAAAGAAUUGCAGAGGAAUGUUUUCUUUUUUAUUUUGUAAGGAGAACAUGUGUAUUGCAGCCUUCCAUAGGUAGAAUUUUCUUACCAAUCUUGGUGUUUUAAAGGCAACCACAACCACCAAGUGUGUUCUCUUUGCAUCACUUUGGUCUGAGAUGUUCCCUUUGGAUCACAUGUGUACAGCAAGUGGUGUGUGUGUAUAUUAUUGCCCUCCUCAAGCUCAUUAGUGAGUCAGCCAGGUU
ensembl:lincRNA